rnacentral:ncRNA from 1 species
GAAAAACUGUAUAUAUAUGCAGUUGGGUAUUUUUCUUUGUACGUCAUUGAACAGGAAUUUCCGUUUUGCAAAGAACAUACCUCAAUUUAG